AUACAAAUAAGGCAACAAGUUAAGUAUCCUACACUUCUCUUUUGUAAAGUAAAUCAAUAAAAAUGACAAUUCCGGAAGUGACGCAGACACCCGGAAGUAAAUUGUCCAGCAGCUAUCUAACGAGCUAGCACCUUCAAACCAGGUGUUCUUUCUGAGUGGGCACGAUUUGGAAUAAGACAAAAUGUUGGUGUCCUCUUUUAAAGUUUGCAAGGGAGGAGUACAUUAUCAUAGAUAAGCACUUCCGGAAGUGACGCCGACACCCGGAAGUAACUUGUCCAGCAGUUAUCUAGCAAGCUAGCAACUUCAAACCAGGAAGCAGGCGUGCUGAACGGAUUGGUUUUAUUGCUUCUAUUUUGCUGGCCGUCUGGUGGUGCUGCAUGGUUGUGGACCAGAGAGCCACGAAGACACAAAGUGGUCCAGACGGCAGAGAAUCAACCGGCAGACAACAAGAUGGUGCAACCAAACGUGAUAGUUGAUUCUGUUACCUGAUUGGCUCUAAGUGUAGAACGUUCACUGAUCAGUGAUCACUUCAAGAAUUGCUCGGUUACCAGAAAGCGAGUGUCUUUGUUCAUGCAACCAACUUUGUUUUGCAACUUCCGCUUUCUUCCGACAAAGAAUAAAAAAAUGAAUCCUACGUUUUAUUGAACACAUUUUUUAUUGAUAAAUUAUGUGUCAUUGGCGAUAUAUAUUGGAACCUUUUUAUCGGCCCAGCUCUAUUGCAAAAUGUUUCUUACGUAUUGGUACCGUUUUUGGGAUCUGCAUAAGUCUCGGAAAUGUGAAAUCAAACUGUGGAGGCAUUGCGGAGAUAUUUAUAAAAUAAUCUUGUCUUCCUUCAUAUUUCCGGGAAACGAGCUGU